rnacentral:rRNA from 1 species
GACGAACGCUGGCGGUGUGCUUAACACAUGCAAGUCGAACGGUAAGGCCCUUUCGGUGGUACACUAGUGGCGAACGGGUGCGUAACACGUGCGUAACCUUCCCUCAUCUCUAGGAUAACAGUCGGAAACGGUUGCUAAUACUGGAUAUGAGCUUUCUAUGCAUCUUGUUGGUUGGAAAGUUUUUUUGUGGUUUGUGAUGGACUCUCGGCCGAUCAGCUUUAUGGUGGGUAAGUGGCUCACCAAGGCUUUGACGGGUAGCCGGCCUGAGAGGGCGACCGGCCACAUUGGGACUGAGAUACGGCCCAAACUACUACGGGAGGCAGCAGGGGGGAAGAUUGCACGAUGGACGGAAGUCUGAUGCAGCAACGCCGCGUGCGGGAUGACGGCCUUCGGGUUGUAAGACGAUUUCAAUAGUGACGAAGCUUUUUUGUGACGGUAGCAGUAGAAGAAGCAACGGCUAACUACGUG